rnacentral:rRNA from 1 species
AGUAAUGUAUGGGGAUCUGCCUGAUGGCGGGGGAUAACUACUGGAAACGGUAGCUAAUACCGCAUAAUGUCUGCGGACCAAAGCGGGGGACCUCCGGGCCUCGCGCCAUCAGAUGAACCCAUAUGGGAUUAGCUUGUAGGUAAGGUAACGGCUUACCUAGGCGACGAUCCCUAGCUGGUCUGAGAGGAUGAUCAGCCACACUUGGGACUGAGACACGGCCAG